UGACCGGCCAACAACGAAUCAAAGGAGAUCAGAUACGUGGUGUCGUAAUCUACUGGGAUUCAAGUAACUAAUUUUCAGCAUCUGCGGUUCUUUGCUUUACACGUUGAUUUUGGAUGUUGUGACCGGCCAACAACGAAUCAAAGGAGAUCAGAUACGUGGUGUCGUAAUCUACUGGGAUUCAAGUAACUAGGGCUGGUACCCCC